rnacentral:rRNA from 1 species
UACAGAGGUCUCAAGCGUUGUUCGGAUUCAUUGGGCGUAAGGGUGCGUAGGUGGCGCGGUAAGUCGGGUGUGAAAUUUCGGAGCUUAACUCCGAAACUGCAUUCGAUACUGCCGUGCUUGAGGACUGGAGAGGAGACUGGAAUUUAUGGUGUAGCGGUGAAAUGCGUAGAUAUCUGCAGGAACACCCGUGGCGAAAGCGGCGCGCUGGACCACUACUGACGCUGAGGAACGAAAGCUAGGGGAGCAAACAGG